UCCGGUUCCUACGCGGUCAAACUCCAGCUUGGACCAGUUCUGCUGAGGGAGAAACGAACCUCCGGUGGCCGUCACAGAGACGGUGAUGGUUUGGACGCCGGUUAGACCGGCCGGAGAACGGCGUUUUUCGGGUGAACCCUGUGAUCUCUUCGUGCUUUUGAUAGAUCUGUUGCGUUUCUUCUUCACAUUUUUUAUUUUCUCUUUGAAAAAGAAAGAGCCUCAGCGUGUUCUCCUUUCUUCAAUUUGCUGCGUUGAUCGUUUAGAUCGGAUCGAUCUGUGCUAUUUCUCUUUGAUACUGAUGGAGAGCUCGAUGCCUUUGCAAGUUUCAGUUCUCACACGAAUGACGGAAAACCUUUUCUAUUCGACAACCCUAGAGGGAGGAGACCAAUAGAGAAGAGAAGAAGAAAACUCUCGAUUGCUUUAAUGCUGUAGCUCAACACGGCUUCCAUGGAAGAUGCUAUGGUGCUGAGGUUUUGUAUCAUAAAACACAUGUGAUGAUCAGCUUAGCUGCCUAUGAGGUCUUCUCUAGGUUGAUAUUGAACGCAAAGUUAUGGACCACAAAUGACCUCCCUUCGCUGGGGGCAAUGAUUGAGAGUUUGUUCCAACUACCUGUACCAGAACAGCCAUGCUGGAAUUUCAACCUUUUGAGAUGGAGGAGAUUUGGACAACUACUUUCGUUAUCUCAGGUUGAUUAAUACUCCUUUCUACACAUUUCCAAGCACUCCAGCUCCAAGAAGGUGCCUUUGAAACCUUUAGAUGCUAUAUGAAGUCAAAAGUUCUACGAUGAUAGGUGAAGGCAGAAUUUCGCAUCCUAUGUGUUUCAUCAUAUUGGUGAGGGACAGCUUGGAGGAUCUUUGUAAAAUCUGCAAGGGAUGAAUUCCUGUUCUUGAAAAC